UCUUAUAAUGAAACAAACCGUCUCUAGAACGUAUGCAUUUGAGCACUCCAGUACUCGAGUACCCAAGGAAGGUGAACCAGCCCAGGAGUCCUGUAAAUAGCCAUCCUUCCAAUUAACCGAAACCAUUAACGUCAGAGCUUGAUGGAACAAUCACCCAUCAUUUUAAACAAAAUUAGGACAUAGGACCCUCCGAGGGAUUUUACAAGCCAUUCUGAGGAACAUUUUGGGUCUUGUGCUCAAGGAAAUGGCUUCUUCAAGGAUUCCACAAGAUAAGUUAUACCCUCAGUUCUUUGCUUUACAUGGACAAGAGCUUUGACCUCCAAAACUGGGUGAAAUGAGACUUUUGCUUGUAUUUUAAGCAGCUCUUCAUAUGUAUAAUUUCCUUUUGCCCCAUUGAGAAGAGUACAUCAUAAUUUUCAGAGAAUUCAA
rnacentral:lncRNA from 1 species